UACGUAGGGGGCAAGCGUUGUCCGGAUUUAUUGGGCGUAAAGAGCGUGUAGGCGGCCAGGUAGGUCCGUUGUGAAAACUCGAGGCUCAACCUCGAGACGUCGAUGGAAACCAUCUGGCUAGAGUCCGGAAGAGGAGAGUGGAAUUCCUGGUGUAGCGGUGAAAUGCGCAGAUAUCAGGAAGAACACCCGUGGCGAAGGCGGCUCACUGGCCCGAUACUGACGCUGAGGUGCGAAAGCGUGGGGAGCAAACAGG
rnacentral:rRNA from 1 species